AGUGAACGCUGGCGGUAGGCCUAACACAUGCAAGUCGAACGGCAGCACAGUAAGAGCUUGCUCUUACGGGUGGCGAGUGGCGUACGGGUGAGGAAUACAUCGGAAUCUACUUUUUCGUGGGGGAUAACGUAGGUAAACUUACGCUAAUACCGCAUACGACCUACGGGUGAAAGCAGGGGAUCUUCGGACCUUGCGCGAUUGAAUGAGCCGAUGUCGGAUUAGCUAGUUGGCGGGGUAAAGGCCCACCCAGGGGACGAUCCGUAGCUGGUGUGAGAGGAUGGUAGGCGACACUGGAACUGAGACACGGUCCAGACUCCUACGGGAGGCAGCAGUGGGGAAUAUGGGACAAAGGGCGCAAGCAUGAUCCAGCCAGACCGCGUGGGUGAAGAAGGCCUUCGGGUUGUAAAGACCUUUUGUUGGGAAAGAAAAGCAGCAGGUUAAUACCCAGCUGUUCUGACGGUACCCAAAGAAUAAGCACCGGCUAACUUCGUG
rnacentral:rRNA from 1 species